GAGGAGGCAAGGAUUUUUUGCUGGCGAUCCCUGCCUUACACAGGCCUACUGAAGAUUUUCCUGAGAAAGUGGGCUCCGUUAUGUUCAGGACCAGAAUGAAAGUGAAAUUCAUCAUUAGUCUGGUUGAUUCAGUGUCUGAAUACACUUCGUACCAUGAGGAUCCUCUUCCCUGAGCCUAAGUCUGUCAGAGUCAAUUUCAGCAGCUGAUGAGGCCCUUCAGUGCCUAGAUUGCAGGAGCGUGAUAAAAAUAUCUGAAGAUAAAUGUUAUUGUUCGUGGUCCCUGUGUUCCCGCUGCAAAUUAUUCACUGUACACUGAGAGAAAGUCUGU